GUGGAGAGAAGCAGGAACAAGGGGAGAGCUCAAAAGAUAUAUGUUUAAAAGUCAUAACUAAAUGUUGAUAUCAACUGAUGGUUUCGUACUGGUUGCUGUUGUUUGAGUGUGUUCGUUGGGCAGUCGAAAAAUCUUAUGUUUCUCCAUGUGCAAGAGCUGGGUGAGAUUGAAGAAGCCACCGUGACAGAGAUUGAGCAGGGGAGAAGCGAGACACGUGAGUGUGCACGUGAGAUAUUAGCCACGUGAUGAGUGUUCCAGUGCGGUGCAAGCGGUUCACAGACCAGUUCCCACCUCCUCCUUGCUCACCUUACCCCAUUACAUUGGUGCCGAAACCUGGGAGGGAGGAAGGAUGUGCUGCCGUGGAUUCCUCACCACUGCUGGUGGAACGGAGGAGUCACUGCCGUCCGCUAGGGGUCAGAGGACUCGCUGCCAUUCACCCAGGGAGGAGCGGCUGUCGUACGCCAGAGGACGGAGGAGUGGCUGAGGACCAGGCAAUGGCGUGUCCAGGGACCGGUGAGCAAGUUUUUCUCUCUCUGUGUGUGCCUCCCGCUCACCCUUUCCCUCUCCCCUCUCUCUCCCCUCGUCUCUCCCCAGGUUCCCAGGAGGUGGGGUGGACCAUUGGCUGGCAGAACGGCCGGAAGUGAAUCGGGCAGGGGAGGAGUGUGACGAGGAGGAGGGCAUGACUGGGCCAUGAGGGUGCACGGUCAGCGCUGAGUCACCUAAUCAACGGGAGAGAGAGAUAAAGGGGAGCCGGAGAUGCCAGUUCGGGAGAGAGAAAGACACAUGCGACCGCUGUGUGUGUGCAUCUAUGUGUUUUAUGUUGUUUUAAGUUGAGUUUAUGUCAUUAAAGUUUACGCUGACUGUU